rnacentral:rRNA from 1 species
AUUGAACGCUGGCGGCAUGCUUUACACAUGCAAGUCGAACGGUAACAGGCCGCAAGGUGCUGACGAGUGGCGAACGGGUGAGUAAUGCAUCGGAACGUGCCCAGUCGUGGGGGAUAACGCAGCGAAAGCUGUGCUAAUACCGCAUACGAUCUAUGGAUGAAAGCGGGGGACCGUAAGGCCUCGCGCGAUUGGAGCGGCCGAUGUCAGAUUAGGUAGUUGGUGGGGUAAAGGCCUACCAAGCCGACGAUCUGUAGCUGGUCUGAGAGGACGACCGGCUACACUGGGACUGAGACACGGCCCAGACUCCUACGGGAGGCAGCAGUGGGGAAUUUUGGACAAUGGGCGCAAGCCUGAUCCAGCAAUGCCGCGUGCAGGAAGAAGGCCUUCGGGUUGUAAACUGCCUUUGUACGGAACGAAACGGUCUGGGUUAAUACCCUGGGCUAAUGAUGGUACCGUAAGAAUAAGCACCGGCUAACUACGUGCCAGCCGCCGCGGUAACAC